rnacentral:rRNA from 1 species
UGGGGAAUAUUGCACAAUGGGGGAAACCCUGAUGCAGCGACGCCGCGUGAGUGAAGAAGGCCUUCGGGUCGUAAAGCUCUGUCCUAAGGGAAGAAAGAUGACGGUACCUUAGGAGGAAGCCCCGGCUAACUACGUGCCAGCAGCCGCGGUAAUACGUAGGGGGCGAGCGUUAUCCGGAAUCACUGGGCGUAAAGGGUGCGUAGGCGGCCGAUCAAGCCAGGGGUGAAAGGCUACGGCUUAACCGUAGUGAGCCUUUGGAACUGAUUGGCUUGAGUGCAGGAGAGGAGAGUGGAAUUCCUAGUGUAGCGGUGAAAUGCGUAGAUAUUAGGAGGAACACCAGUGGCGAAGGCGACUCUCUGGACUGUAACUGACGCUGAGGCACGAAAGCGUGGGGAGCAAACAGG